AUUUAACAUCAUCACACAUGUCCACCCAUUACUAAAGAACCACAAAAUUAAUAUUCAAAUGCUACACGCCGGAUGAUACUUUUCAACACAGAAUAGGCAUUAGUCAACAUUAAAUAAUUGUAUGCAGUUAUAAAAUAUAAGAGAUUAGAAUCUGA